rnacentral:lncRNA from 1 species
AAACUAAAUUUCAACAAAAGGAUAAAUUAAUCAAUUAUUGUACAUUAAUUCAAUGAGUCAUACAGUUAUAAAAUGAUAAUUAUAAAGAUGUUACAGACACAUAGAAAAUAGUUUUUAUAAAUUUUAGAAGAAAAAAGUGAGCAGCUUAUUGAAAAUGUUAUAUGAUUUCAAUUGUGUUAAAUAUAUAUGCUGCUGAAAGAAGAAGGGAUAGAAUGAAACUGUUUUAUAAAAAUCAUUUUAGUGUCGUAGAAUUGUGGCUUUUUAAUUUUUAAAAAUUAUCUUUAAUUUUAUGGUAUUUAAAAUAAAGAGAAUGGAAAUAAAAUGCAGGGCUUUUUAAAAAAACAUCUUGACAGCUUAAGUAUAAAGACUUGAAAGAAAAAAAUCAGUUCUCCUUCAAAAACAGCUUAUAAUUCAUAUAUUCAAUAUUUCUUAAAUAUUGAAAUAUUUCUAGCACCUACUAUAUCCUCUGAGCAUUUCUGUUUCUUUUACCAUAUGUGUCUUGCUACAACACACAAAUUUAUUAUUAUACAAUUAUGUAUGUCAGAAGUCCAGUAUAAGUCUCACUGGGCUAAGGCUUUGUUGCCAAGGCUUUGUUCCUUUCUAGAGGUUCCAGAUAAGAAUACAUUUCCUUACAUUUUUCAUCUUCCAGAAGCUGCCCACUUUCAUUAGCAUGUGGUCCCCUUUCUCCAUCUUCAGAGUCAGCAUCAUUCCAUUUCUUUGACUCCUCUUUCCAUGGUCUCAUCUCUCCCUGACUACAGCUAGGACAGGUUCUCCACUUUUAAGGACCUAUAUAAUUAGAUUUGGCCCACCAAGGUGAUCCAUAAUGAUCUCCCAUCUCAAAGUCCAUAACCUUAAUCAUAUCUGUGAAGUCCCAUUUGCCAGCUAGGGUAAUGAAGGAAAUGAAAAUAUUUUAUCCAAAAAUAUAUUUGUUUGCCAUAUUUUGAGAUGGCUGUCCCAGAGCCAGCAGACUGAAGUGGCCCUUCAAAACUGUCUUUUGUAGGGAAAAUUUGCAACCAUAGAGAAUCUCCAUUAAUUCAACUAGGCCUUACCUUGUCCUGAUCUAGGGAAGAUUAACUAAGAGUCUGGCACCUUUAAAGAUUCCAAAAGAAACAGAAAUAUUUACCAUCUGUCCCUUCUGAAGGCUGCUACCUAUGAGGUUUGAUCUACAUAACAAGACAACCUUUGCUAGCCAAGCGUCCUCUUCUCUCCCUUCAUAACCUGUCUUGCCACUAAAACCUGACUUACCAACAUAAUCUAUUUUUGGCAAUGCUCUGAGCCCUCAUUCUUUCUGUAAUCUCAAGAUGGUAGAUAAGCUUCUUUUUUUUUUUUUUUCACCCCUACUGGGGGAUUAGGUGUUUAUUCCGAAAGCUCCUAUGUAUACAUGUGAAAUAAAUUUGUAUGCCUUUUUUUCCUAUUAAUCAAUCUGCCUCAUAUCAAUCAUUUUCAACAGAGCUUCAGGGGACCAAGGACCUUGGCCUCUACAGUUACCUGUGUAUAGGCUUUGAGAAUUAGGACCCAGACGUCUUUGGGGGAGAAGGCAUGAUUCUGCCUUCAUAUUCACUGUUGUGAUUCAUUCAUACAUGUCUAAUGAAGUACCUAAUUUUUAAAAAUAAUCUUAAAACUUGGUUUCUUGUGCUAUUUAUUUUUAUAAAAGAAUAUUUUUUCCAAACACUGACAAAGUAUCUGCUAGUUAUAAAGAACGUAGUUAUGAAUUUUUAAAACUAAUUCAUGAAUCUCUCUCCCUUUUUUCCCUCCUUCAUGAGUAUUUAGCCUAAAAGAUAUUAGGUUGAGUAUAUGCUAGAUAGAAACACGUGCUGGAAGGGAGAUAGGUACAGUGGCCUUGUGCAAUGAGACACAGGAGAUAUUUAUAUGUGGGUGGUGGGUAAAGGAAGAGAAUGGACUGGUGGUACAGCCACUAUAAUGGGAUGCUAGAUUGAGGGUGGGGUGAGGAAGUGAGGGGUAAAAGGUGUAAGAAACCUGAGAGGAGGAGGAGCACAUUCUUUUGGCAAAGCUCUGAGUAGUCAUACUCAAGAGUGUGAGAGGGACAGCUAUGUAAGGGGUAUAUAACAGUGUAAGCAGCUUGGUGAGAUAUCAGAAACCCAAGUAGGUAAAGAGGCUGUCUGCAUGUGGGAUGGUUGUGGUCCCACCGUAAUUUGUUACAGCCCAAGCAUAGCACAGAUGGCUUCCACAUGGAGAUAGGGCACAGCAAUGAUAUCCAUGACUUGGCACAGAGCGUCAAAGCCCAAGGAGGGUAAGAACACAUUCUUUGUAGGUAGGAGCACCAUAUUGCAGGGGCUCAGAGACUGGACAUGGUGAGGAAUGCAUUCACAAUCCACACAGUCUGCCACAGACACUAUGUCCUGAGAUAAUUAAGAAUAUUUCUACUUCAGACCUGGAGGAGGAUUUUGUAGCAGGGGGUUGACAAUGAACAACAGUGAAAUGCUGAAGUCUGGGUGAGGUGGAAAGAGCAUUCACAUGGUGAAGUGGAGGGGAAGAAAUGUUGGUUAUGUAAAGGUAGGAUUUAUCAAAUAAAUAAAAAUAUUGGGAAUAAUAGGAGCAAGAUUUCUCAGGUUGAAAAAGGAAGUUAUAGAAAAAGGAAGUUAUAGAAAAUGCAGAAAAAUUAGGAUAAAACUUCUAGCACUAGUAUUGGAUUGGAAUUGGAGAUAUUUGUGUGAACUUAAAGUUUUAAUGCAUAUAGAUGGAUACAGAAAGAAUAUAGGUGUGUAUGUAUUGCAGGUGUAUGCAUGCUUACCUCCUCAAGCUCUGCUCACUGAGAGGGCUUUGAGACAUCAACACCCAUGUAAUAAUGAGCAUGUCUAGCCUCAGAUUUUGUUUUCUGAAGGUCAUUUUUCACUAAAAUAAAACAUAGCUCCUUGGAUCAAUGGCUAAUUUCAGGACUAAGGGAAAAAAAUGUAAAAUGAGCCAUUAACAUCAUGUGGUACAUGAAAAUAAGGAAGUGCUCAAAUAAUCAUAAGGAUAUAUCAAAAGGACAACAACAAAAGAGCUAGCUUGAAUGAGCUCUCACUAGUCAGAUAGGGAAAAAUUUGUGUAUCUAAAUAAAUAAUGAUAUCAACAGAUUUUAACCUAUGAAAUAAUAUUGGAAUGCAUUUGUGAUAAAAAUACACAUAUACAUAUGCAGAGGGAAAAUCUUGUUAAUUAAUAAAAUAAAAGGAAUAAUAGAUUUGAUGAAAAUCGCCUAUUGGCAUCUAUCAUCCCAAUAUUUAAUUCAUGCAGAAAACAUUAGUGGGUGGUAAAAGUUUGAUGAGAAACAGAGUAUUUAUAUAGUCUCAAAGUAUCGUCCUUCAAUACACUUAUUAAGUUGGGGAAAAAAGUAACUUCACCAUAGUGAAAACUAGAAGACACCACCUUAAUCAAAUGUUCAAAAUUAACAUCAUCAAAAUGGGACAAAUCAAAUCAUUACCACCUGAUAAGAUGCAAUCACAAACAUUACCUCUGUGAUAUUCCUGCCAAAACCAUUUAAUCAGAGGAAGCAUCAGAGAAACACAAAUUGAAAGGCAUUCUCUAAAUAACUGGCUUAAAAUCUUCAAAAGUGUCAAGGUCAUGAGAGAAAAGAAGACAGAAGAAGGAGGUUGAAGAAGAUUAAAAAUACAGGGCAUCUAAAUGCAGUAUAUGAUCUUAAACCAGGGCUGGCUUUAUGGGCAUGUAGUUUGUGUAGUGGCACAGGGCCCUGUACUUGGAAGAGCCUAUGUUUGAUUUAAUGUUCUGCUGUUGUCCUCUCAAUUCUUAACAAUAUUUCAAAAGGCUCACAUUCAUUCUGAAGUGAGCCCCAGGUCCCCACUGAGUAGCCAGUCCUGUUCAGAUUGAAUCCUUUUUCUAAAAAAGGACAUUAUGGGGACUAUUGACACAAUUUGGAUUGGGACUACAGUUUAAAUGAUAAUAAUGAAAUGUUAUGUCCUGAUUUUGGUAAUUAUAUUGAAUUACAUCAAGGAAUGUCUUUGUAGGAAACACACACUAAAAUAUUUGGGUGUUAGGCAAAAUGUGACUGAGUAACUUUCAAAUGAUUUAGGGGAAAUACUUUCUGCACUAUAAUUACAACCUUUCUGUAAGUUUGAAAUUGUUUUAGAAUAAAAAGAAAAAAAGCAAUUCAUCAUAUCCUCUGUAAAAUCAAGAAUUGGUGAAUUCAAACAACAUGUAUGGAGGGAUUUGAAGGGCAUUAUACUGAGUGAAAUAAAUAAAGUCUAAAGGUUACUUACUAUACAUAGCAUUUAUAAAACAUUCUCAAAGUGAUAAUAUCAGGUCAUUGGCUGCUGAGGGUUAGAGUUCAAAGAGGGUGUGAUUAUUAAGGGAUAAUACAGGACAUUUCUUUGUGGUGAUGAAACAAUUCUAGAUGAUCCAGAAUUUUAAUGUAGGAAGGGCUUAGGGCAAAAAAUAUGGUAAGAAAAUUUACAGGAAGAGAGUAAGAAUGAGGGUUAUCUUAAAGCUGUAUUCGUAUGGGGAGCCCACUGAUAUGACCCAAGCUAUUUUGGUUAUUGGGCCACCAAAACCAAAUAGGACUGUGGGACUUUAUCAAAAGGUAGACAAAAUGGGAGGAGGCUUAAGCCCCUGAAGGCAUUUUAUAAGAUCCUCAUUAAUCUAAGAAUUUUUUCAUAAACUACAUUUGAGGCCUGGUAGCUCAUGCCUAUAAUCCUAGCUCUUUGGUAGGCCAAGGUGGGAGAAUCACUUGAGCUCAGGAGAUCAAGACCAGUCUGGGCAACAUAGCAAGAUCCUUGUCUACACAUAUACACACAAAAAUAAUUAGUGUGGUAGUGCACUGGACAGUCAAUUUAUCAAGACAGGGAAAUAGAGAAAGAGUAAUUAACAUAGAACCUCUGUGCAGGUGACCAGGAUUCUAUUGUUACUCAAAUCAGUCUCCCUGAAAACUUGGGGAUCAGGGUUUUUAAGGACAAUUUGGUGGGUAGGGGCCAGUGAGUCGGGAGUGCUGAUUGGUUGGGUCGGAGAUGAAAUCAUAGGGAGUUGAGGCUGACCUCUUGUGCUGUCAUUUCCUGAGUGAGGGCAACAAGACCAGAGGAGCCACUUUAUCGAUCUGGGUGGUGCCAACUGAUCCAUCAAGUGCCAGCCUACACAUUAGCAUAAUGUGGAUUUUCCAAGCUACUUUUAUACAUGAAAUAAUAUAAGCUGUAAUGAGUGAAAGUAAGCACGGAUUUUUCAGCAGUACUUUCCAGAAAUUUUGAUGGAAGAUCAGCUUUUUGUAGCUGGAGAAGUUGGAUUAAAAAAUGACCACAGAGAAAUUGAAAGAUGUCCAGUAGAAGGUCUGUAGACUUCAUUCCAAUUCAGCAUAUCCAUGAGGUCACCAAGAAAUUAAGUCACCAAGAAGUUAAUUUCCUCAAGAAAGGACCCUUGAAGAAAGUUGCUAUUAUUAAGUCGAUUAGGGUGUAGUGGCAGGAAAAAAAGUAAGGACUGAUUUCUAAGAAACAUAAAAAUGAAAACAUUAAAGAAAAACCCUAAAUUUCAUUGAAGAAUAAAUUGUGGGACUGAG